UUACUUAGAAACACCAUAAAACUUAUCUGAAUAAAAUUGAAUCAAUACGUCAUAAUCAAAAUCUCAUAAUAGUUGAUUACAAACAAAUCAAAGUAUGCAAAUGAACGUCGUUAUCCCCAGUGUUACAGAUCAGAGCAUUCUUAUUUGAAUACUAGAAUAUAAGGAAGAUAAAAGUCUACUGAGAGGCAAUAGCCAUCUCACCGCAACAACGAAC
rnacentral:lncRNA from 1 species